AGCGAACGCUGGCGGCAGGCCUAACACAUGCAAGUCGAACGAAGUCUUCGGACUUAGUGGCGGACGGGUGAGUAACACGUGGGAACGUACCUUUUGGUUCGGAACAACUCAGGGAAACUUGAGCUAAUACCGAAUGUGCCCUUAGGGGGAAAGAUUUAUCGCCAUUAGAGCGGCCCGCGUUAGAUUAGCCAGUUGGUGAGGUAAAGGCUCACCAAGGCUACGAUCUAUAGCUGGUCUGAGAGGAUGAUCAGCCACACUGGGACUGAGACACGGCCCAGACUCCUACGGGGGGCAGCAGUGGGGAAUCUUGCGCAAUGGGCGAAAGCCUGACGCAGCCAUGCCGCGUGAAUGAUGAAGGUCUUAGGAUUGUAAAAUUCUUUUACCAGGGACGAUAAUGACGGUACCUGGAGAAAAAGCCCCGGCUAACUUCGUGCCAGCCGCCGCCGUAAGAC
rnacentral:rRNA from 1 species